rnacentral:rRNA from 1 species
GUCUGGGAAACUGCCUGAUGGAGAGGGAUAACUACUGGAAACGGUAGCUAAUACCGCAUAACGUCGCAAGACCAAAGAGGGGGACCUUCGGGCCUCUUGCCAUCGGAUGUGCCCAGAUGGGAUUAGCUAGUAGGUGGGGUAACGGCUCACCUAGGCGACGAUCCCUAGCUGGUCUGAGAGGAUGACCAGCCACACUGGAACUGAGACACGGUCCAGACUCCUACGGGAGGCAGCAGUGGGGAAUAUUGCACAAUGGGCGCAAGCCUGAUGCAGCCAUGCCGCGUGUAUGAAGAAGGCCUUCGGGUUGUAAAGUACUUUCAGCGGGGAGGAAGGGAGUAAAGUUAAUACCUUUGCUCAUUGA